GAUGAACGCUAGCGGCAGGCUUAACACAUGCGAGUCGAGGGGCAGCGCGGGAUAGCAAUAUCCUGGCGGCGACCGGCGGAAGGGUGCGUAACGCGUGAGCGACAUGCCCGUUGCCAGGGGACAACCGGUGGAAACGCCGACUAAUCCCCGAUGGGAUAUUGUGCCGCAUGGCACGAUAUUGAAAGUUACGGCGGCGACGGAUUGGCUCGCGUCCGAUUAGCUUGUUGGCGGGGUAACGGCCCACCAAGGCUGCGAUCGGUAGGGGUUCUGAGAGGAAGGCCCCCCACAAUGGGACUGAGACACGGCCCAAACUCCUACGGGAGGCAGCAGUGAGGAAUAUUGGUCAAUGGGCGGAAGCCUGAACCAGCCAUGCCGCGUGCGGGAAGGAGGCCCUAUGGGCUGUGAACCGCUUUUGCCUGGGGGCAAUAAGGGCGUCGCGCACGUCCGAUGAGAGUACCAGGCGAAUAAGCAUCGGCUAACUCCGUG
rnacentral:rRNA from 1 species